rnacentral:tRNA from 1 species
AGCUCAGUUGGUAGAGCAGCUGAUUUGUAAUCAGCAGGUCAGGAGUUCGAACCUCCUA